UGGGGCGUGGCCAAGUGGUAAGGCAAUGGGUUUUGGUCCCACUAUGCGGAGGUUCGAAUCCUUCCGUCCCAG
rfam:Gossypium hirsutum cultivar TM-1 chromosome 2, whole genome shotgun sequence